AUCCUUUUGUAGUUCAUGAACGUGAUGAUUGGGUGUUCAUGCACAGGUAUGAGAUGUGCCAUCCACUGAACCUUAUUAAGACAUCAGCACAUUAUGACCUGAAG